GAUCCUGGCUCAGGAUGAACGCUAGCGGCAGGCCUAACACAUGCAAGUCGAGGGGCAUCACAGGUAGCAAUACCGGGUGGCGACCGGCGCACGGGUGCGUAACGCGUAUGCAACCUACCCAUAACAGGGGGAUAACACUGAGAAAUUGGUACUAAUACCCCAUAACAUCAGAACCGGCAUCGGUUUUGGUUGAAAACUCCGGUGGUUAUGGAUGGGCAUGCGUUGUAUUAGCUAGUUGGUGAGGUAACGG
rnacentral:rRNA from 1 species